CACGGUCUUCGGUAGUGGCUGCCGGAACGAUUGCCGACAGCUUCGAUCGAUGGCCGUA
rfam:Mycobacterium rutilum strain DSM 45405 genome assembly, chromosome: I